CUCUCCCGCGCGAGACCGGCAGCACCAUUCGGGAACGGGAUCUGCCCCUCCCCGCUCCUGGAGCGUGACCCCUUGCUCCUCGCCCCGAGGCCUGUGGCGACUGGGUCCGUUGGGGCAGAACCAUGGAGGAAAAGCCUUUCAAAGCGUCUUUGGGCAGCCAUGGCUCAGACAAGUCGAGCCCAGACAACGACAUCCGGAAUCUGUGGACCAGGGCCACGCUGUCGCAGCCGAAGCUGAAUGUGCCGCGGUCCAGCGUCGGCGAGAACUCAGACAUGGAGGGCGGUGGCAUCGGCCGCAAGUCCCGCCGGUGGUACAACCAGAAGGCCGGCCGCGACUCAGACGGUGGUUGGGAAGAAUGGGAUGACGGAGAGGACAAGGGCAGUUUCAAACAGGAGGAUCUGAACGAGUCCUCCUUGUUGGAGCUGGAGCUGCGUCGGGCCAGCUCCCUGGGAAGCCGUUUAGGGGAGGACGUCGAUUCCGUGACCGACACCGACAUUCUUGGAGCGCCCCCUACCGGGCAGGCGUCGUACAAGGUCCUGUGGCCAUGGCACGCCAGGUCCGAGAGACACCUGUGGAAAAUGCGCAAAGGCAGCGACGUAGGACCCGUGCUUUUAAUGGAAUCACUGGGAUGGUUGAGAGGAGGGAGUUAUUUCCUUGUGUAUGGAUUUGCUGUCGUUGAGGAGAAAUGUCUUCCUCAGAGUCAUCGCUCAGUAUCUCGAAGCACACACCCCAUCGAGCCUACUGGAUGGAGCAGCAGAACAGGCUGCCACUGCCUCUGAUGGAACUCAUGGAGAAUGAAGCUCUGGAAAUCCUCACCAAAGCCCUCCGGAGUGCAGCACCGCUGCUGGGGAGGCCAUGCUCCUGCUCACUGCCCUGAGCCGAGCUAUGCCCUCCAGGCUACCGGUCAGGUAUUGGCCGGGACCACUUCCUGACCAAGCAGCUGCAGCGAUACAUCGAGGGGCUCAAGAGGCGCCAGAGCAAGAGGCUGCACCUCUUGGUGCACUGAGAGCACCGCCUCGGGCUCGGGCUCGAGUGA